GUCUUUUUNNGGAAGAAAAAAAGUCAAGCCUGCCCGCUNNGAUUAAUUUAAGGGCCGCGGUAUUUUGACCGUGCGAAGGUAGCAUAAUCAUUAGGUUUUUAAUUGGAAUCUUGUAUGAAUGGUUAGACAAGAGAAAUUCUGUCUCUUUGUUAUAAAUUGAAUUUAACUUUUAAGUGAAAAGGCUUAAAUGAGUUAAAGGGACGAUAAGACCCUAUAAAGCUUAAUAUAAAAUAUUAUUUGACUGAGUUUAGNNNAAAUAAAGGGCCUAUAGUAUAAUUUAUUUUAUUGGGGUGAUAAAAGUAAAAUGAUUAUUAACUGCUUUGAUUAGGACACAUAAAUGUAUGGGUUAAGUUAUAUAAAAGAUCCUUAAUAAAGAUUGUAAGUUUAAGUUACUUUAGGGAUAACAGCGUUAUUUUUUUUGAGAGUACAUAUCGAAAAAAGAGUUUGCGACCUCGAUGUUGAAUUAAAAUNUUCUUUAUNAGAAGCAGAACUAUAANNNNAAGUGGCUGNUCGACUUUNAAAUUUCG
rnacentral:rRNA from 1 species